rnacentral:tRNA from 1 species
GGCAGUGUGGCGUAGUGGUUAAGGUGUUGGACUGGGAUCUGGGAGACAUGGGUUCGAAUCCCCACUCUGCCA